UACUAACGCUGGCGGCGUGCUUAACACAUGCAAGUCGAACGCUGAAGCUUGGUGCUUGCACUGGGUGGAUGAGUGGCGAACGGGUGAGUAAUACGUGAGUAACCUGCCCUUGACUCUGGGAUAAGCCUGGGAAACUGGGUCUAAUACUGGAUACGACAUGCCACUGCAUGGUGGUGUGUGGAAAGGGUUUUACUGGUUUUGGAUGGGCUCACGGCCUAUCAGCUUGUUGGUGGGGUAAUGGCCUACCAAGGCGACGACGGGUAGCCGGCCUGAGAGGGUGACCGGCCACACUGGGACUGAGACACGGCCCAGACUCCUACGGGAGGCAGCAGUGGGGAAUAUUGCACAAUGGGCGGAAGCCUGAUGCAGCGACGCCGCGUGAGGGAUGACGGCCUUCGGGUUGUAAACCUCUUUCAGCACGGAAGAAGCGAGAGUGACGGUACGUGCAGAAGAAGCGCCGGCUAACUACGUG
rnacentral:rRNA from 1 species